GAUCCUGGAUCAGGAUGAACGCUAGCUACAGGCUUAACACAUGCAAGUCGAGGGGCAGCAUGUUGGUUGCUUGCAACCGAUGAUGGCGACCGGCGCACGGGUGAGUAACGGCGUAUCCAACCUACCCUUAGUCCAUCGGAUAACCCGUCGAAAGGCGGCCUAACACGAUAUGCGGUUCACAGCAGGCAAUCUAACGUGAACGAAAUGUGAAGGAGAAGGGAUGGGG
rnacentral:rRNA from 1 species